CCCCCCCACCACCACCCCUUACCCUCGGUCAAUGAAAUCAUGUUGAACGUGGAAUAGACUUUGAAUCUGUGCACAGUGGGUAGGGUUAGGGUUAUGGGCUAUGGCUUGGGUUAGGGUUGAGCUGGGAUGUGGACAGGAAGUUGGUGUUAGGGUUGAGCUGGGAUGUGGACAUGAAGUUGGUGUUAGGGUUGAGCUGGGAUGUGGACAUGAAGUUGGUGUUAGGGUUGAGCUGGGAUGUGGACAGGAAGUUAGGGUUGAGCUGGGAUGUGGACAUGAAGUUGGUGUUAGGGUUGAGCUGGGAUGUGGACAUGAAGUUAGGGUUAGGGUUGAGCUGGGAUGUGGACAGGAGGUUAGGGUUGAGCUGGGCUGUGGACAGGAAGUUAGGGUUAGGGUUGAGCUGGGAUGUGGACAGGAAGUUGGUGUUAGGGUUGAGCUGGGAUGUGGACAGGAAGUUAGGGUUAGGGUUGAACUGGGAUGUGGACAUGAAGCUAGGGUUCAUAUUAAUUCAUUCGUAUUAGAUAAAUAA
rnacentral:lncRNA from 1 species